GAUGGACGCUGGCGGCGUGCCUAAUACAUGCAAGUCGAGCGAAUGGAUUAAGAGCUUGCUCUUAUGAAGUUAGCGGCGGACGGGUGAGUAACACGCGGGUAACCUGCCCAUAAGACUGGGAUAACUCCGGGAAACCGGGGCUAAUACCGGAUAACAUUUUGAACCGCAUGGUUCGAAAUUGAAAGGCGGCUUCGGCUGUCACUUAUGGAUGGACCCGCGUCGCAUUAGCUAGUUGGUGAGGUAACGGCUCACCAAGGCAACGAUGCGUAGCCAACCUGAGCGGGUGAUCGGCCACACUGGGACUGAGACACGGCCCAGACUCCUACGGGAGGCAGCAGUAGGGAGUCUUCCGCAAUGGACGAAAGUCUGACGGAGCAACGCCGCGUGAGUGAUGAAGGCUUUCGGGUCGUAAAACUCUGUUGUUAGGGAAGAACAAGUGCUAGUUGAAUAAGCUGGCACCUUGACGGUACCUAACCAGAAAGCCACGGCUAACUACGUGCCAGCAGCCGCCGUAA
rnacentral:rRNA from 1 species